rnacentral:rRNA from 1 species
GUGUCAGCAGCCGCGGUAAGACGUAGGGUCCAAGCGUUGUCCGGAUUUACUGGGCGUAAAGAGCGCGUAGGCGGCUUGAUAAGUGUGGUGUGAAAUCUCCAGGGCUUAACCCGGAAACUGCACCGCAGACUGUCAGGCUUGAGGAAUGCAGAGGUAACUGGAAUUCCUGGUGUAGCGGUGAAAUGCGUUGAUAUCAGGAGGAACACCCAUGGCGAAGGCAGGUUACUGGGCAUUAUCUGACGCUGAGGCGCGAAAGCGUGGGUAGCAAACAGGAUUAGAUACCCGCGUAGUCC